UGCAGUCGAGCGGAGUUAUUCCUUCGGGGAUAACUUAGCGGCGGACGGGUGAGUAACACGUAGGCAACCUGCCUGUAAGAUCGGGAUAACUACCGGAAACGGUAGCUAAGACCGAAUAAUCAGCUUGGUCGCAUGAUCGAGCUGGGAAAAGCGGAGCAAUCUGCUACUUACAGAUGGGCCUGCGGCGCAUUAGCUAGUUGGUGGGGUAACGGCUCACCAAGGCGACGAUGCGUAGCCGACCUGAGAGGGUGAACGGCCACACUGGGACUGAGACACGGCCCAGACUCCUACGGGAGGCAGCAGUAGGGAAUCUUCCGCAAUGGACGCAAGUCUGACGGAGCAACGCCGCGUGAGUGAUGAAGGUUUUCGGAUCGUAAAGCUCUGUUGCCAGGGAAGAACGCUUGGGAGAGUAACUGCUCUCAAGGUGACGGUACCUGAGAAGAAAGCCCCGGCUAACUACGUGCCAGCAGCCGCGGUAAUACGUAGGGGGCAAGCGUUGUCCGGAAUUAUUGGGCGUAAAGCGCGCGCAGGCGGCUUUGUAAGUCUGGUGUUUAAACCUAGGGCUCAACCCUGGGUCGCAUUGGAAACUGCAAGGCUUGAGUGCAGAAGAGGAGAGUGGAAUUCCACGUGUAGCGGUGAAAUGCGUAGAGAUGUGGAGGAACACCAGUGGCGAAGGCGACUCUCUGGGCUGUAACUGACGCUGAGGCGCGAAAGCGUGGGGAGC
rnacentral:rRNA from 1 species